rnacentral:rRNA from 1 species
GACGAACGCUGGCGGCGUGCUUAACACAUGCAAGUCGAGCGGUAAGGCCCUUUCGGGGGUACGCGAGCGGCGAACGGGUGAGUAACACGUGGGUGACCUGCCUCUAGCUCUGGGAUAAGCCUGGGAAGCUGGGUCUAAUACCGGAUAUGACCUCGCGGUGCAUGUUGCGGGGUGGAAAGCCUUGUGCGGCUAGGGAUGGGCCCGCGGCCUAUCAGCUUGUUGGUGGGGUGANGGCCUACCAAGGCGACGACGGGUAGCCGGCCUGAGAGGGCGACCGGCCACACUGGGACUGAGACACGGCCCAGACUCCUACGGGAGGCAGCAGUGGGGAAUCUUGCGCAGUGGGCGAAAGCCUGACGCAGCGACGCCGCGUGAGGGAUGACGGCC